rnacentral:rRNA from 1 species
CCAGACAGCCAGGAUGUUGGCUUAGAAGCAGCCAUAAUUUAAAGAAAGCGUAAUAGCUCACUGGUCGAGUCGGCCUGCGCGGAAGAUGUAACGGGGCUAAACCAUGCACCGAAGCUGCGGCAGCGACACUAUGUGUUGUUGGGUAGGGGAGCGUUCUGUAAGCCUGUGAAGGUGUACUGUGAGGUAUGCUGGAGGUAUCAGAAGUGCGAAUGCUGACAUAAGUAACGAUAAAGCGGGUGAAAAGCCCGCUCGCCGGAAGACCAAGGGUUCCUGUCCAACGUUAAUCGGGGCAGGGUGAGUCGACCCCUAAGG